GAUGAACGCUGGCGGCGUGCCUAAUACAUGCAAGUCGAGCGAACAGACGAGGAGCUUGCUCCUCUGACGUUAGCGGCGGACGGGUGGGUAACACGUGGAUAACCUACCUAUAAGACUGGGAUAACUUCGGGAAACCGGAGCUAAUACCGGAUAAUAUAUUGACCCGCAUGGUUCAAUAGUGAAAGACGGUUUUGCUGUCACUUAUAGAUGGAUCCGCGCCGCAUUAGCUAGUUGGUAAGGUAACGGCUUACCAAGGCAACGAUGCGUAGCCGACCUGAGAGGGUGAUCGGCCACAGUGGAGCUGAGACACGGGCCAGACUCCUACGGGGGGCAGCAGUAGGGAGUCGGGCGCGAUGGGCGAAGGCCUGACGGAGCAGCGCCGCGUGAGUGAGGAAGGUCUUCGGAUCGUAAAACUCUGUUAUUAGGGAAGAACAAAUGUGUAAUGAACUAUGCACGGCUUGACGGUACCUAAUCAGAAAGCCACGGCUAACUACGUG
rnacentral:rRNA from 1 species